rnacentral:rRNA from 1 species
UGGAACGAGUGGCGGACGGGUGAGUAACACGUGGGUAACCUGCCCUUAAGUGGGGGAUAACAUUUGGAAACAGAUGCUAAUACCGCAUAGAUCCAAGAACCGCAGGGUUCUUGGCUGAAAGAUGGCGUAAGCUAUCGCUUUUGGAUGGACCCGCGGCGUAUUAGCUAGUUGGUGAGGUAAUGGCUCACCAAGGCGAUGAUACGUAGCCGAACUGAGAGGUUGAUCGGCCACAUUGGGACUGAGACACGGCCCAAACUCCUACGGGAGGCAGCAGUAGGGAAUCUUCCACAAUGGACGCAAGUCUGAUGGAGCAACGCCGCGUGAGUGAAGAAGGCUUUCGGGUCGUAAAACUCUGUUGUUGGAGAAGAAUGGUCGGCAGAGUAACUGUUGUCGGCGUGACGGUAUCCAACCAGAAAGCCACGGCUAACUACGUGCCAGCAGCCGCGGUAAUACGUAGGUGGCAAGCGUUAUCCGGAUUUAUUGGGCGUAAAGCGAGCGCAGGCGGUUUUUUAAGUCUGAUGUGAAAGCCCUCGGCUUAACCGAGGAAGCGCAUCGGAAACUGGGAAACUUGAGUGCAGAAGAGGACAGUGGAACUCCAUGUGUAGCGGUGAAAUGCGUAGAUAUAUGGAAGAACACCAGUGGCGAAGGCGGCUGUCUGGUCUGUAACUGACGCUGAGGCUCGAAAGCAUGGGUAGCGAACAGGAUUAGAUACCCUGGUAGUCCAUGCCGUAAACGAUGAAUGCUAGGUGUUGGAGGGUUUCCGCCCUUCAGUGCCGCAGCUAACGCAUUAAGCAUUCCGCCUGGGGAGUACGACCGCAAGGUUGAAACUCAAAGGAAUUGACGGGGGCCCGCACAAGCGGUGGAGCAUGUGGUUUAAUUCGAAGCAACGCGAAGAACCUUACCAGGUCUUGACAUCUUUUGAUCACCUGAGAGAUCAGGUUUCCCCUUCGGGGGCAAAAUGACAGGUGGUGCAUGGUUGUCGUCAGCUCGUGUCGUGAGAUGUUGGGUUAAGUCCCGCAACGAGCGCAACCCUUAUGAC